UACGUAGGUGGCAAGCGUAGUCCGGAUUUAUUGGGUUUAAAGGGUGCGUAGGCGGCUUAUUAAGUCAGUGGUGAAAUACUCUAGCUCAACUAGAGGGGUGCCAUUGAUACUGAUGAGCUUGAGUACAGAUGAGGUAGGCGGAAUUGACGGUGUAGCGGUGAAAUGCUUAGAUAUCGUCAAGAACACCUAUAGCGAAGGCAGCUUACUAGGCUGUAACUGACGCUGAGGCACGAAAGUGUGGGGAUCAAACAGG
rnacentral:rRNA from 1 species